rnacentral:rRNA from 1 species
UGGGGAAUAUUGCACAAUGGGCGAAAGCCUGAUGCAGCGACGCCGCGUGAGGGAUGACGGCCUUCGGGUUGUAAACCUCUUUCAGCAGGGACGAAGCGCAAGUGACGGUACCUGCAGAAGAAGCACCGGCUAACUACGUGCCAGCAGCCGCGGUAAUACGUAGGGGGCAAGCGUUGUCCGGAAUUACUGGGCGUAAAGAGUUCGUAGGCGGUUUGUCGCGUCGUUUGUGAAAACCAGCAGCUCAACUGCUGGCUUGCAGGCGAUACGGGCAGACUUGAGUACUGCAGGGGAGGCUGGAAUUCCUGGUGUAGCGGUGAAAUGCGCAGAUAUCAGGAGGAACACCGGUGGCGAAGGCGGGUCUCUGGGCAGUAACUGACGCUGAGGAACGAAAGCGUGGGUAGCGAACAGG